rnacentral:lncRNA from 1 species
CAGGUCCCUGCCAUACCUUCCAGCAGUGGGGGACUUAUGAGUGAUGGGAGCACAGCUGUUGUUUAGCUUCCCCCGUGACCCCAGCCAGCGGACACCAGGAAUUUCCGGGCUGUUCCCGGCGCCCCGUGCUGGAAGGCGGGCGCGCUCCAGCCGCAGGUGGAGUCUUUGGAUUUUUUAAGAGACGAUGGCAAUCAGACGUACUUGAAAAAUUAAGGGAAUUGGUCGGAACAUUGAUUUACCAAUCCUCACCAUUCAGUCAUUGGAUCCCAGAGGUUUUGCAUGAAUUCCUGUGGGGAGAAAUGGUACCUUGGAAAGCAAGGACGACGUGAUGCAGUAUUUUGAUAUGAGGAUAACAGAAGGUGACAGGAAAAUCAUGCCUGUGAGAGCCAUAAACCAUGCAGGUAAUUGUUUCAUUUUAAGCCAUCCCUUUAUCUUAUAUUUGGUUGUCUGUAGUAUGAUGGUUUUAUAAUAG